rnacentral:tRNA from 1 species
GCCGGUUUGGCUCAGUGGAUAGAGUGUCAGACUAUAGACUGAAGGGUCCCAGGUUCGAUUCCGGGCAAGGGCA